UUUAGGGUUACGAGGAUGAGAUAAAUAGUUUAAAUGGGAAAUGGUGAUCAAACACACACAGUUCACAUGAUGAUACUGGAGAGAAUGGAGUGACAAGCAGAUGUAGAAGAAAAAGUCCAGCUGCAAACUUUCCAAGAAGAUACAGUCCAGCAAUCAGUUGUCUUGGAAGAUACAGUAUGGAUGUGGACCUGUAGUAACUAAAGUGUGUUUUCUAUCUCUGUAAUGCAUGGUGAUGAUGAUGAUGAUUGCGAUGAUGUUGAUGGUAGACAAUUAAUAAUGAUGACAGGGCUGUUUCGUGUAUUCAAGCAUAACAAAGGAAAUGGACACCUUGUUGGA